CCGCCGGUGCUCUUGACUGAGUGUCGGCGGCGGCCGGAACGUUUACUUUGAAAAAAUUAGAGUGUUCAAAGCAGGCUCUCGAGCCUGGAUAAUGGUGCAUGGAAUAAUGGAAUAGGACCUCGGUUCUAUUUUGUUGGUUUUCGGAGCGCGAGGUAAUGAUUAAGAGGGACAGACGGGGGCAUUCGUACUGUGCCGUUAGAGGUGAAAUUCUUGGAUCGGCGCAAGACGAACGACUGCGAAAGCAUUUGCCAAGAAUGUUUUCUUUAAUCAAGAGCGAAAGUCAGAGGUUCGAAGACGAUCAGAUACCGUCCUAGUUCUGACUAUAAACGAUGCCAACUAGCGAUCGGGGGGCGUUACAUUGACGACCCCUCCGGCAGCUUACGGGAAACCAAAGUCUUUGGGUUCCGGGGGAAGUAUGGUUGCAAAGCUGAAACUUAAAGGAAUUGACGGAAGGGCACCACCAGGAGUGGAGCCUGCGGCUUAAUUUGACUCAACACGGGAAAUCUCACCCGGCCCGGACACAGUGAGGAUUGACAGAUUGAGAGCUCUUUCUUGAUUCUGUGGGUGGUGGUGCAUGGCCGUUCUUAGUUGGUGGUGCGAUUUGUCUGGUUAAUUCCGAUAACGAACGAGACUCUGGCUUGCUAAAUAGUUACGCGACCAUCCCGGUCGGCGUUUAACUUCUUAGAGGGACAAGUGGCGUUUAGCCACACGAGAUUGAGCAAUAACAGGGUCUGUGAUGCCCUUAGAUGUUCGGGGCCGCACGCGCGCUACACUGACCGGAUCAGCGUGUGCUCUCCUUGGCCGACAGGUCCGGGAAACCCGUUGAACCC
rnacentral:ncRNA from 1 species